UUUUCGCAAUGCCCGAAAGGGUGACGAAGCGACGCCGCGUGGGUGAGGAAGGCCUUCGGGUUGUAAAACCCUGUCAGGAGUUAAGAAAUGUAAGUGCGCUAAUACCGCAUUUAUUUGACGAAGGCUCCAAAGGAAGCCACGGCUAACUCUGUGCCAGCAGCCGCGGUAAUACAGAGGUGGCAAGCGUUGUUCGGAAUUAUUGGGCGUAAAGAGCACGUAGGUGGGUUUGUAAGUCAGAUGUGAAAGCCUUCUGUUCAACGGAAGAAUUGCAUCUGAAACUGCGAAUCUUGAGUGUAGGAGGGGAGAAUGGAACUUCUGGUGGAGCGGUGAAAUGCGUAGAUAUCAGAAGGAACGCCGGCGGCGAAAGCGAUUCUCUGGCCUAUUACUGACACUCAGUGUGCGAAAGCUAGGGGAGCAAACGGGAUUAGAUACCCCGGUAGUCCUAGCCGUAAACGAUGGGCACUAAGUAGAGGGGUUUUAAUC
rnacentral:rRNA from 1 species